UCCCACGUUUCUUGAGUUGUAAUCUCUUUCCAGGAUCCGCCGGAAGCUAGAAAUCCUUCUCCAGGUGGUAGGGUAGGGCAGGGCACAGAAGGACUGAGACUUGGAAAACUGGAACCCCAAGGGGUUCAUGGGAUCCCUGAAACUCAUCCACAGUCAUCCCAGGAUGGAUCUGUGAGGUCCAGGUUAAGAAUUAAUUGUCCCAGCUCUAAAGCCCUGAAUUGAGACUCCACACAGGCUGUCAAAAUGGAAAGCACACACGGCCACUUGGGGACAUCUGUCUGCAGAAGAAAUCAGGCAGACAGCUGUGUGAAUCAUAGCACUGACAGCAGCAGGCAACUCGCUCAAGCUCCACAGGUGCUAAACAAAUGCACCAAAGUCGAGAUGGUAAGACCCUGAUAAGAAAAUCAAGCUAUUCCCAGUGAAGACACCAGAGCAAUCUGUGUUCCUUCCAAGCCUGUUUCAAACUGAAGAGUCUCUGCCGGUUCUGUCUGCAGACAGAGAGGGGUCUGGUCAGACACCUGGGUCUCCCUGCCCCUGUGUCACAAAGGGUUGUCUGCUGCAGAGAAUGCCACCCAUCUGCAAGCAAGUGGCCUUUCUCAUCAUGUCUUUGCGGAACUGACACACAACUCUGUCACACUGGGCAUUCUAAGCUAACAGGAGCCAACUGCUAUUUUUUGGAACACGAGCAGCUGCUGUUAGAGAACACAAUCAUUGUCACAUUUCUUAAGUUUUCCAGAAAACCCUUUGAAUCCUCACAUCGUGUAGCUGGAAGCCAACUGAAAUCCUAAGAAAACAGUUUUGCCUUUGUGGAAGAGCCAGAAGUCUCGUGCUGCCAGAUAUCUUGCUAAGUUGGAUGAGAACGCGCCAUGAUGUUUUUAUCAGUUGUUUUUCCUUACUUUCACCACACCUUAUAAAGGCACUCACAAAAGACUUCCAGAACUGCUUCGCUGAAAUUGUGUCAUGCCUGAGACCGUUAAACACAACAACAAAGCCAGGUGUGGAGGUGCACGGCUGCAAUCCCAGCACUCGGGGAAGAUGAAGCAAGAGGAUCUGCAGUUCAAGGCCUGCCGGAGCUACCUAGCAAGAACAUAUCACAGAAUGACACAAUAGUAGUCAUGGCAAUAAUGAAUAUUCUAUCGAGUCUCUACUUCUGAUUAGAAUUUCUGGGUAGUAGGA